UANUGCAGUCGAACGAACUUCCGUUAAUUGAUUAUGACGUACUUGUACUGAUUGAGAUUUUAACACGAAGUGAGUGGCGAACGGGUGAGUAACACGUGGGUAACCUGCCCAGAAGUAGGGGAUAACACCUGGAAACAGAUGCUAAUACCGUAUAACAGAGAAAACCGCAUGGUUUUCUUUUAAAAGAUGGCUCUGCUAUCACUUCUGGAUGGACCCGCGGCGUAUUAGCUAGUUGGUGAGGUAAAGGCUCACCAAGGCAGUGAUACGUAGCCGACCUGAGAGGGUAAUCGGCCACAUUGGGACUGAGACACGGCCCAGACUCCUACGGGAGGCAGCAGUAGGGAAUCUUCCACAAUGGACGCAAGUCUGAUGGAGCAACGCCGCGUGAGUGAAGAAGGGUUUCGGCUCGUAAAGCUCUGUUGUUAAAGAAGAACGUGGGUAAGAGUAACUGUUUACCCAGUGACGGUAUUUAACCAGAAAGCCACGGCUAACUACGUGCCAGCAGCCGCGGUAAUACGUAGGUGGCAAGCGUUAUCCGGAUUUAUUGGGCGUAAAGCGAGCGCAGGCGGUCUUUUAAGUCUAAUGUGAAAGCCUUCGGCUCAACCGAAGAAGUGCAUUGGAAACUGGGAGACUUGAGUGCAGAAGAGGACAGUGGAACUCCAUGUGUAGCGGUGAAAUGCGUAGAUAUAUGGAAGAACACCAGUGGCGAAGGCGGCUGUCUGGUCUGCAACUGACGCUGAGGCUCGAAAGCAUGGGUAGCGAACAGGAUUAGAUACCCUGGUAGUCCAUGCCGUAAACGAUGAUUACUAAGUGUUGGAGGGUUUCCGCCCUUCAGUGCUGCAGCUAACGCAUUAAGUAAUCCGCCUGGGGAGUACGACCGCAAGGUUGAAACUCAAAAGAAUUGACGGGGGCCCGCACAAGCGGUGGAGCAUGUGGUUUAAUUCGAAGCUACGCGAAGAACCUUACCAGGUCUUGACAUCUUCUGACAGUCUAAAAGAUUAGAGGUUCCCUUCGGGGACNGAAUGACAGGUGGUGCAUGGUUGUCUUCACCUCCUGUCCUGAGAUGUUGGGUUAAGUCCCGCAACGAGCGCAACCCUUAUUACUAGUUGCCAGCAUUAAGUUGGGCACUCUAGUGAAACUGCCGGUGACAAACCGGAGGAAGGUNGGGAUA
rnacentral:rRNA from 1 species